UAGUGUUACAGCUCUUUUAGAAUUUGUCUAGCACGUUUUCUGGUUUCUACCAGAAAGCCCCC
rnacentral:snRNA from 15 species